rnacentral:rRNA from 1 species
GACGAACGCUGGCGGCGUGCUUAACACAUGCAAGUCGAACGGAAAGGCCCUGCUUUUGUGGUCUGCUCGAUUGGCGAACGCGUGAGUAACACGUGAGUAACCUGCCCUUGACUUUGGGAUAACUUCAGGAAACUGGGGUUAAUACCGUAUAGGAUCUCCUGCUGCAUUGUGGGGGUUGGAAAGUUUCGGCGGUUGGGGAUGGACUCGCGGCUUAUCAGCUUGUUGGUGGGGUAGUUGCUUACCAAGGCUUUGACGGGUAGCCGGCCUGAGAGGGUGACCGGCGACAUUGGGACUGAGAUACGGCCCAGACUGGUACGGGAGGCAGCAGUGGGGAAUAUUGCACAAUCGGAGGAAGCCUGAUGAAGAAACGCCGCGUGCGGGAUGACGGCCUUCGGGGUGUAAAAAGCAUUCGCCUGUGACGAAGCGUGAGUGACGGUAAUGGGUAAAGAAGCACCGGCUAACUACGUG